GCAAAGAAUAACAGCGCCUCGGGGCUACCCAGUCCGCUCUCCCUGGUCUUGCCCUAAGGGAGGAGUAUGACUUGGGGCUGACUGCACAGAACUGAGCUCUUCUCUCCCGGAGGCCACAGACUGCCCUGGGGGGAGCCACAUCCCCACCCAGGCUCAGAGGGCAGGAAGAGCCCCAGCUUGAGAGCAGUGUGGCGGAGCGGGCUUUGGAGUCAGGAUAUGCUUAAAUCCUGCCUCUCGCCUUAGUUCUGGGGUCAGUUACCUUUCCUAACGAGCCUCGGUUUCCUCACUUGUCAAACGAGAAGGUUGGAGGAGGUGACUAAGGUCUCUUUGUUUCCCAAUGAUCUAUGGAGGCAUCUAGCGACAGUCUUCAGGUCACACAAGAAAGGAAGAAGGGCAGAUGAACUUGGCUUCUCUGACUCCUUCAGAAGAUUGGAACUCUUUCUAUUACAUCAAGAUGGUUUUAAUUAGAAUUCCCCAGCAGUUUUAGAACAAGAUCACAGGGGUACGAUGGUAAGUACCUGACUUGAGGUGAAAGUGGACACUCUGAAGAAAGAAGGCUACCCUAGAGCUACCUGGAAAAACAUCUGCCAUCCACAUACCUGGGUCUUACUGUAGGUGAGAAAUACAAGGCUGUGAAAAUUCAUUUGCAAAUGAAAUUUGUAAUUUUCCACAAAUAAAAACUUCCACCAAGUAAAGCCAUGUGCCUCCAAGGACAGACCACAAGCUACAAAAUGGGAAGGACAGCCAGGUGGCACAGCAGCAGAUAGAGCACCAGUCCUGAAGCCCAGAGAACCUGGGUUCAAAUCUGGCCUUGGA